AUCAAAUCCCUGCGGACAUUUGAAAACACCCCACUAAGACUGCAACUGGAACUCUUUAUUUAAUUUAAUAUAUUUUCGUGGUUGACCCCUAUAUAAAAAAUAGGGGUAUAUUAACUAAGCGCUGAUACUGUUUUUAUUUCAAUCCCUAUAUAAAACCAAAGUGUGCUGCAGGCACAAAACAAUAUGUAUAAUGUAGCCUGAGAAGAGCAAAGCGUCUGAGGUGCUCAGGAUAUCAGUUACACAGCAGGCAGCAUACAAAACAUGUAACCUGUGUAGGACAGUAGGUGAAAAGAUGGUCAGAGAUAGGUAAUAGCCAGUGGGGUUCUAUGUAUAUGACCCAUCAGACAGAGUAGUGGGAGUAGGCCUGCAUCUAGUUGGAUGGAGGCAUAACCCCACAGUAAAACCAAUGGCAGCCAAACCCCACUCCCAAACCAGCUGUGCUAAUAACCCUCCGUAACUAGGAGGCUAUCCAGAAAUAGCUAGAGCUAUCCAACCUUAUCACCUAGGCUAUCUGCUGCUUCAUGGCAGCUAGGAGAUUCUAUGUAGCUUUCCCUGCGUGUUUAACAUAAAGAGCUGCAGCUUACCCAAACGGAUAGAAAAGUGAACUAAAAGAAUAAGUGCAUUGGCACACUAAGUAGCUCGACGCGUGUUUCUGCAGUAAAUACUGCCUUUGUCAAGAGCCACUGUUAAAGGACCACAAUAGUCACCCAGACCAUUUCAGCUCAAUGAAGUGGUCUGGGUGCCAGGUCCCUCAGGUUUUAAUCCUUCAAAUGUAAACAUAGCAGCUUCAGAGAAACUGCUAUGUUUACAUUGCAGGGUUAAUCCAGCCUCUAGUGGCUGUCUUCCUGACAGCCGCUAGAGGUGCUGCUGCAACUCUCAAAAUCGCAUUGAGCAUGCAGAACAUCCAUAGGAAAGCAAUGAGAAAUGCUUUCCUACAGGCGGUUUUAAUGCACGGGGGACUCUGGCCGCGCAUGCGCAUUCGGCUCCACUCGGGAGCUGACGUCGGAGGGGGAGAAGAGGUCACCAGCGCCAAGGGAGCCCGGCGGGAGGGGGCCCUGAGGGUGUGGGGGGGGACCUAAGGAUUAUAUAGUGUCAGGAAAAUGAAUUUGUUUUCCUGACACUAUAGUGAUCCCUUAAUAUUCUCAGGACUAGAUGCUUUGUUGCAUCUCUGGGGAAUGUUCUGUAGGUGUCAUGAUCUUGUGCAGGUCAGGGAUUAGACUGAAACUGGGGUUAACUUCAGGGUCUCUAUUUUCUAUCUUAUACAUUAUAGUAAGAACAGGAUAUCCUAUAAUAGAAAUUAUAGGAAUGGGAGAGACAGAAAACAGAGUUACAGGUGAGAAUAACUAGGCUAUGAAGUAAAGGGUUUAGACAAUAAGCACAAAGUGGAAAUAAGGUGAACCUAUAAAUGAAGUUACAGGUAGGAGAUUGUAUAGGUACAAUCUUGAGGGAAAACAGGAUUCAUUCAAUAUCCCCCAGAACAGG